rnacentral:rRNA from 1 species
AGCUCCAAUAGCGUAUAUUAAAGUUGUUGCGGUUAAAAAGCUCGUAGUUGGAUUUCUGUCGAGGACAACCGGUCCGCACUUUGUGCGUGUAUCUGGCUUGGCCUUGGCAUCCUCUUGGGGAACGUUGCUGCGAUUGAUUUCGUGGUACGGUAUUCAAGACUUUUACUUUGAGGAAAUUAGAGUGUUUACAGCAGGCAAACGCCUUGAAUACAUUAGCAUGGAAUAAUAAUAUAGGACCUUGGUUCUAUUUUGUUGGUUUCUAGAACUAAGGUAAUGAUUAAUAGGGACAAUUGGGGGCAUUCGUAUUAACUCGUCAGAGGUGAAAUUCUUGGAUUGAGUUACGACGAACUACUGCGAAAGCAUUUGCCAAGGAUGUUUUCA